rnacentral:rRNA from 1 species
AUUGAACGCUGGCGGCAUGCUUUACACAUGCAAGUCGAACGGUAACGGGCCGCAAGGUGCUGACGAGUGGCGGACGGGUGAGUAAUGCAUCGGAACGUGCCCAGUCGUGGGGGAUAACUACUCGAAAGAGUAGCUAAUACCGCAUACGAUCUAUGGAUGAAAGCGGGGGACCGUAAGGCCUCGCGCGAUUGGAGCGGCCGAUGUCAGAUUAGGUAGUUGGUGGGGUAAAGGCUCACCAAGCCAACGAUCUGUAGCUGGUCUGAGAGGACAACCAGCCACACUGGGACUGAGACACGGCCCAGACUCCUACGGGAGGCAGCAGUGGGGAAUUUUGGACAAUGGGCGCAAGCCUGAUCCAGCAAUGCCGCGUGCAGGAAGAAGGCCUUCGGGUUGUAAACUGCUUUUGUACGGAACGAAACGGCUCUGGUUAAUACCCGGGGCUAAUGACGGUACCGUAAGAAUAAGCACCGGCUAACUACGUG